rnacentral:rRNA from 1 species
UACGUAGGGUGCAAGCGUUAAUCGGAAUUACUGGGCGUAAAGCGUGCGCAGGCGGUUCGCUAAGACAGAUGUGAAAUCCCCGGGCUUAACCUGGGAACUGCAUUGGUGACUGGCAAGCUAGAGUGUGGCAGAGGGGGGUAGAAUUCCACGUGUAGCAGUGAAAUGCGUAGAGAUGUGGAGGAAUACCGAUGGCGAAGGCAGCCCCCUGGGCUAAGAUUGACGCUCAUGCACGAAAGCGUGGGGAGCAAACAGG